CACGCACACACGCGCGGCAUAUCAAUAAGCGGAGGAAAAGAAACUAACAAGGAUUCCCUUAGUAACGGCGAGUGAAGCGGGAAGAGCUCAAAUUUGAAAUCUUCAAGGUUCUACCUUGACGAAUUGUAGUUUAUAGAAGUGUUUUCUGUUAGUAGGAGUGGCAAAAGUUCUUUGGAAUAGGACAUCAUAGAGGGUGAGAAUCCCGUAUUUGGUCAUUCCUUUCUAGCUUUGUGAUACACUUUCAACGAGUCGGAUUGUUUGGGAAUGCAGUCCAAAAUGGGUGGUAAAUUUCAUCUAAAGCUAAAUAUUGGCGAGAGACCGAUAGCGAACAAGUACCGUGAGGGAAAGAUGCAAAGAACUUUGAAAAGAGAGUUAAACAGUACGUGAAAUUGUCAAAAGGGAAGCGUUUGACACCAGUGUUGUUUUUCCGAAAAUCAAUUACGAAUGUUUUAUUUUUGAGGAGUUAUGACUUCAUCGGCUUGCUCCUUUCUUUAUGAAACUUUCUUAAUGCACUUUUCGGUUAACAAGUCAACAUCAAUUUCUUUUGUUGUAAAAGGGUAUGAGGAAGGUGGCUUUCUUUUCGGAGAAAGUGUUUAUAGCCUUGUGCCUCUGCAAUCGGAGAGAUUGAGGUCUGCAGCGUAGAUCCUUCGGGGUUAGAUACGUUUGUGCUAAGUUAUAGCUUUUCAUAGACAACUUGUUGACUAUGUUUAGUCUUGUAGCUUACUCGCUGACGCUAUUUUACCUACGCUUAGGAUGUUGAUAGUCACAGCGUGUAC
rnacentral:rRNA from 1 species